rnacentral:sRNA from 1 species
GUGACAGUGCUGGAGAAUGAAUGACCUCUGCCAUUUAACCAUAGAACACUAAAAAUGGUAGUGCAAGUUCUUCCCCAUGCUGUCCUACCAGUAUAUCUCAACCCCAAUCUGGAAGGGCAUCCUUAGGGAUGAGAUGGUAGUUUAGUUUCCAGGCUAAUUCAGUCCUUGGUCUCU